UACGGAGGGUGCGAGCGUUGCUCGGAAUUAUUGGGCGUAAAGCGUACGCAGGCGGCUCGGUAAGUCGAGUGUGAAAUCCCGAGGCUCAACCUCGGACGUGCAUUCGAUACUGCCGAGCUUGAAUGCGGGAGAGGGAAGCGGAAUUCCUGGUGUAGAGGUGAAAUUCGUAGAUAUCAGGAGGAACACCGGUGGCGAAGGCGGGUCUCUGGGCCGAUACUGACGCUGAGGAGCGAAAGCGUGGGGAGCGAACAGG
rnacentral:rRNA from 1 species